GCGCGCACCCGGUCAGCGCUCUCAGACCAGACGAGCGAAGCAGUCAGAUCGGGUUGGCUUAUCACGACGGUGACUACUGAGGUAGCCCAAUUUGCUGAAGUUACAACGUGGUGGCUUCAUUUGUGCUGGACAGGUCAGCUGCAGAUUUGGAGUCUUUCAUAGCCCCGCUGUACUUCUCACCAGUAUAUGCUAAUCGGACCAUCCUGGCUGGCCUGGAUUACAACCACUGUGUCCACAGUCCAACCAGGAAAAAAGCUGAUGACACAAUUCAGUACAGCAGGGUGUACUACAAAAAGUCCAGCAAGUGGAGCUUGUACUCAUCGAAGGUGGAGAAGGACUGCAGUUACAUCGCAGACCUCCACAGUGCCAUCCUCCUCCUCCUCCGAUGGUUGUUGAGGAGCUGCCUAGAAGCAGAACCAGGAGACCUGAUGAUCCCCGUCAACAUGGGGUUCAGUCAGGUGUUCCUGCCCCAACUGUAUUCCUAGAUACAGCAAAACGUACCACAAAAAGUAAUAUGGUAAGCAGCAGCGGCCUAGCUGGCAAGGGCUGGUGCAGAGGACUGAAGGUCUCCACUCCAACUGAAAGCCCAAAGGAUAUUGUGGGGUGCACGCUGUCCACAGUUCAGAGAGGGGCUGUCCAAG